GUCGGGAUAGCUCAGUUGGUAGAGCAGAGGACUGAAAAUCCUCGUGUCCC
rnacentral:tRNA from 1 species